rnacentral:sRNA from 1 species
GAGAAAUACUAGUACCCCGGAUUCGGUGUACGUGAGAUAUCCCACUAAUACAGAUUUCCCGGUGGAUACGGUGGUUAGAUACGUGCCAAAAGCUUCUCCCGUCAAAAUUUCCUUUGCUCCAGACACAAACUUUGACUAUAAGAACAAAUCGAAAGUGGCAGAAAAGGUGAAAAGAUCAAAUUACCAUUUUAGACCCGUGUCUGAAAAGAGGAGAAACUCGCUGAAAUUUCAAGCACCUGCUUCAACACUGCCCUCCUCAACAUUCGUGUCCACGAACAAACAGGAUUUUGCUGAUACAUCAGAACAUCUCAAGCGAUCGCUGAAACCGGCGCCAAAGUGGUUUUACAAGAGCAGCACAAACCUACAUGAAAUGGGGUCUAACUCUUUGGAGGACCGGUGCUUAGGAUCUGAUUGUAGUACUGUUAGUAAGAACUACGCACGAUCUCUCGUGUUCUUUCCACCACAAAAACGUGCCAAAACGUUGGAUACUUUUAGUUCGAAUCAUUCGUCCUAUGAAUAUAAGCCAUUAGUUGGCGAAAGAGUUAUUUUCAAAGCUCAGCUACUGAGAGAGUUUCCUAAUAACCCUGUUGUGAGUGAUACCAUUAUAAGCGGAAAAGUAGAAAAUCGAAAGAACGCUAGAUUUUCUGAAUCUUUAAACCGUAAUGGAAUGUAUAAUUCCGACACAGAAAUAGAGAAGAAACUGGGUCGUGUAAACGCGUCUCACCGACCUGUACAUGGUACCGACGUCAGCCAACUGUCGACUACUUCCAUCCAAAAAGUAACUGGCGACAUGAAUCGGACUUACGGGAAACAAGCCAAACUGAGGGAGAUGAUAAGGAAGUAACUCCACUGAACGUUUACUCACAAGUGCUAUUUGUGCCAUUUUUUCAAAUUCAUUGUUUCCGAUUGUGAGUCUCUUGACUUUAAAAUAUAUUUGGAAGAAUCUAGAUUGAUGGUUAUUAUUACCAACCGCUUCAUUUAGACUGUAACUGGAGCAAAGCUUUUGGGGAAAUAAUUCUUCUUGUAUGUAUUUUUGUGUUGCCUCAGCUUGAAGGAUGUGAACUGCAAAAGCAAAAAAGCAAUUCCACGCAAAACACAAGAGGAAAUUCAAGAUUGAACAAGUCGUUUGAUUUAAGUCCCAUCGAGAAUAUUCAACCCGCGUUGAGAUGUGACCAGUGCCGUUUAAUUAAGUGUUGCAGAUGAAGAAUUUGCGGGGGUUUGUCGUGCCAUUGAACUAGACAACAUUUAAACAGCUUCAAUACAAGUUUUGAAAAAAAAUAUUUGAAAAAAUUAAUUUCUUUUGUCUAUCGGACCUACAUAAGUGACUGGAAGAAAGUGACUGGCUGUUAUUCAAUAUCGAUACUGUCUUGAUGAAUUUAACGUCCUUUUAUAUUGCUGCUCUGCACUACAUUCUACUGUAUCCUGCAGAAUCAUCUGUGUCCCAUGUACCGUUGUUGCUGUUUUUUAAGUUAUUUAUUUUGAUCAAUAAAUUGUACUACAUCUG